rnacentral:rRNA from 1 species
CACGGACCGCACGAACGUUAUUCGGAAUUACUGGGCUUAAAGAGUUCGUAGGCGGCGCAGAAAGUAGGGUGUGAAAGCCCUCGGCUCAACCGAGGAAUUGCGCUCUAAACUACUGUGCUUGAGGGACCUAGAGGUGAGCGGAACUGAUGGUGGAGCGGUGAAAUGCGUUGAUAUCAUCAGGAACACCGGAGGCGAAGGCGGCUCACUGGGGGUCUUCUGACGCUGAGGAACGAAAGCCAGGGGAGCGAACGGG